AUGGAGAGGGCCGAAAGUCCAAGAGGAAGAGUUGGGAUUCUCCUGGGGUGGUGAUCUGCCAGCAUUUGUGGAGAGAUAGAUGCCUGCUUGCCUAGUGGCCUUGAACCUCAACGAGGCUUCCCAGGGAGAAUUUUGGAUGAAGACCUUUAUAAAGGGAGUGAAGAUUUUAAGCAUUGAGGGACUCGAGACACCGUGAGUGAGAAAACCAGUUUUCUUUUGGAUAUUCAUCUGAAGCUCAGAGGAGGCGAAGGUGCAACUUUCUUUAGUCGUCCCGAAUCUGGGUUCAUCCGACAUCAGCCGCCUCCACCAUGCUGUGGAAGUUCGACCCCAACGAGAUCAAAGGCAUAUACCUGAGGUGCAUCAGAGGCGAAGUCGGUGCCACUUAUGCGCUGGCCCCCAAGAUCGGCCCCCUGGGUCUGUCUCCAAAAAAGGUUGGUGAUGACAUUGCCAAGGCAAUGGGUGACUGGAAGGGCCUGAGGAGUACAGUGAAACUGACCAUUCAGAACAGACAGGCCCAGAUUGAGGUGGUGCCUUCUGCCUCUGCCCUGAUCAUCAAAGGCCUCAAGGAACCACCAAGAGACAGAAAGAAACAGAAAAACAUUAAACACAGUGGGAAUAUCACUUUUGAUGAGAUCGUCAACAUUGCUCGACAGAUGCGGCACCGAUCCUUAGUCAGAGAACUCUCUGGAACCAUUAAAGAGAUCCUGGGGACUGCCCAGUCUGUGGGCUGUAACGUUGAUGGCUGCCACCCUCAUGACAUCAUAGAUGACAUCAACAGUGGUGCUGUGGAAUGCCCAGUCAGUUAAGCACAAAGGAAAAUAUUUCAAUAAAGGAUCAUAUGAC